UACAGAGGGGGCAAGCGUUGUUCGGAAUUACUGGGCGUAAAGGGCGCGUAGGCGGCCUUCUAAGUCGAACGUGAAAUCCCCGGGCUCAACCCGGGAACUGCGUCCGAUACUGGAAGGCUUGAAUCCGGGAGAGGGAUGCGGAAUUCCGAGGUGUAGCGGUGAAAUGCGUAGGAUAUCUGGAGGAACACCGGUGGCGAAGGCGGCG
rnacentral:rRNA from 1 species